UGGGGAAUCUUAGACAAUGGGCGCAAGCCUGAUCUAGCCAUGCCGCGUGAGCGAUGAAGGCCUUAGGGUUGUAAAGCUCUUUCAGUGGGGAAGAUAAUGACUGUACCCACAGAAGAAGCCCCGGCUAACUCCGUGCCAGCAGCCGCGGUAAUACGGAGGGGGCUAGCGUUGUUCGGAAUUACUGGGCGUAAAGCGCACGUAGGCGGAUGGACAAGUCAGAGGUGAAAUCCCAGGGCUCAACCUUGGAACUGCCUUUGAAACUUUCCAUCUUGAGGUCGAGAGAGGUGAGUGGAAUUCCGAGUGUAGAGGUGAAAUUCGUAGAUAUUCGGAGGAACACCAGUGGCGAAGGCGGCUCACUGGCUCGAUACUGACGCUGAGGUGCGAAAGCGUGGGGAGCAAACGAGGAUUAGAUACCCUGGUAGUCCACGCCGUAAACGAUGAAUGCCAGACGUCGGCAAGCAUGCUUGUCGGUGUCACACCUAACGGAUUAAGCAUUCCGCCGUGGGG
rnacentral:rRNA from 1 species